GUUUUCGGUGGCGUUGGUUUGUUUGUUUGUUUUGUUGUUUUCACCAGAGGUGCGUCUCAGCCCCAGGAGGAUCCCAUUACAUUUUAGUGGUGAUCCGGAUCGCCUUCUGGAUCCAGGAAUUUUUUGAAGGAUUCUUUAUCAUUGUGAGAUAGGGAAAAUUUGGGAAUUUUUGCAUUUAACUCUAUAAAAAUGUCCAGAGUCUUUAGUAAAAAAUUACACAAAAGGAUCUCAAUGAGUUUUAUGAGGUGUCAAAGCUUAAAUCACCUAAUCAACAUAUGGCUGUAACUCAACUUAACUGUGCAUGUAAACGUACUAGGUGUAGUAUAGGACUUAUUUCCCUGUUGUUGCCUUGUGAACCGUGUGCACAUCCAUGUCACUUUAAGGAGCACUAUCACCUUUGUUCUUCAGCGAUAUCUCUAAUGUAACACCAACAAUCCCCUCCAAAAUCUGAUAAUAAUUUUUAAAGUUAUAGAGAAAGCUGCUGGGCUUGUGUUCAAAUACAGUGACAGGAACUUGAACAACCGUUGCCUGGCACAAGACUUUUUAAUAUCAUAUAACUUCUUAAAUCAGAUUCUCUAUUUACACAGACUGUACAUGCUUGUAUGUGCCCUGUAAUUCUUGUAACCCUCAUGUUAAAUGUUUGCACAUAGAGAGCCAAGUUUACCGGCAUCAAAUUCCUUGUAUGUAUACAAACACUUGGCCAACAAAGCUGAUUCUGAUUCUGAAUUACCGAAGUACAAUAUGAAUGAAGUUUUAUAUGUUGACUGACCUGAAGUGACCUUCCUUCAGAGAUGGUGGAAAUUGAAACAGAGCAUGGGACUUACUUUUGCAGAGUAACCAUAUUAUGGAGAGAUAAUUGAUUCUAAUUUCUAUAAUCAUUUGUUUACUGUUCAUAAUUCUGCCUAUUACCCUUACUGCUAAGUAAAGCUGUCAAGAAGUUGACACACAAUGCAGGUUUAAGGUUGAUUGUAUUAAUUUGUAUUAAUUCUAAAUUGUGAAUGCUUCGAAGAUAGCCCUAUUUAUUUCAUUUCAGAUUCUUGACAGCCUAAUUUUGGGUCAGAGCAACAUCAAACUGAACAUUUCCUCCUGAGGUUUAAUCACUGUAAAGCAUACGCCUGCUUAUCUGAUACAAUAUUUUAAAAGCUGAUGAGCAAGUUUUCUGCAGUUGACACACAGGAAACGAAUGAGGCAAAAGUCACAACUUCUAGCACCAUUAACCACACUAUCAUCACUACCACUCAUGGCUGAAGUUAGUUUGCAAUCAACAACUUAGAGAUGCAUUCAUCACCACUGCUGCCAUUGCCUGGAUUGCAGGACACUAAUUUUUUGACAAAUCAAGCAGAGGUGACAUGUCUCAAACAUGUUGUAGCAGUUGUUGUUAUGCAAAGUGUUAGCAUCAGUAUGAACCGACCUCAUUCACACAUUACUGGCACAGCCACCAUACAGGGACAAUAUGGGGUUCAAUAUUUUACUCCAUUAAAGCAUUUCAGACAGCAGGGCCAGAGAUUGAACCCCCAAACUUGAAAUUAAGAGACAACCAGCUCUAACACUGAGCCACAGCUGCCCCUAAUAACUGCAGUCAAUGGGUUUUUAUCAAUUAAUAUAAUGUAUUGAACACUACCGGUAACAAAGCUGGGCAGCUAACAGCUAAACUAGGUCAUAAAUCUCCACUACAGAUAUUACCAUUCAACAUUUAUAUUGAUUUAAAGGACAAACACUGCAGGAAGGAUUAAAUUGAAAUGUAUUACUUCAGUCAGUCCAACAAAUAUUCAUUUUGUUUUCUCUGUUUGUGUGCCGAAUAGCUCUUACAUCUUACGAUGUUUAAUGCUGAAGCCAUCCAAUUAUACAUACAACUCAGAUUUCAUUCAUUCCACAGUAUUGAGUGAAAUCAGUUGUGGCAAAUUGGAACCUGAGGUACAAGGUUAUUUGUGUUUCAGUCCUAUGCCUCCUCUGUUUUCCUCUAUCAACAAGGCCUAAUGACUCUGCUGGUAAUGGAUAAGUCAACAAUUUCACAAUCUGAUAAUAUGUGAUUAAUAGCCUGUUUGUUGUUGCAAAACACUGGAAAUGGUAUGUAUGUUAUCUGACUGAGUAAUAAUUCAGGGCGCAUCUUCUCCAUUAUGGCGGAACACAUUUCUUGUGAUGUGAUUUAUAUUUCUGUCUCAUGCUGGUGCGAUCAAAGCUAUGCAAAUGGGCAAAAUAGAGGAGUUAGGUUCACUUUUGGCUUUCAUCAGAUUUCUACCUGCCAUUUUCACAGGAAACAAACUCAGGAUAAUUGACUCAGUGCGAUCAGAAUCGCCACUACCAUCAUCGUGUGUAAGGAGAGUGUUUAUGUGGACGCUAACAAGCACUUAUUGUUCCCGCUGGGCAGGAUCUGCUAAAUUCGUUGUCCUGUACUUACAGAUGCAGGUAGACCACUGUGACUUGUUUUCUUGUUUCUGUCUAUCCCGGUUUCAUGGUGCUGCAAAGGAUCUGAGUGAGUGCAUAAACCCUCCACAUUACAUUAUGUCAUUUCUUGCCAAUUUUGAAAUAACACCUGCUGCAUCAUAUCAAUUAAAACAGUUCACCUUUCUUACUUCAGCAUGAAAAUCACACAUCAAAUCCUGUGAGUCACCGUUGUAUGUACACGAUGAAGAGAAAAGGGUUUUUGUUAUCACUUCUGCACCCUGCAAUCCUCAUUCAGAGGUCCUCUAAGUACAGUAGCUUGAAGCAACAUAGAUUAGAAUAAUGUACAGGGGGGUUUGCUGGUCUUAGAGGCUGUCGUAGUGAUUUUCGUUUAUCUAUUGUUUGCGUUUCUUAUCGAGUGUUUUUCAGUCCAUGAAAGCUGCUUAGAAUAUCAAUAGCUGUCAAGAUGCAUCUGGUAAAUUUCAUAUUCAACCCAGGUGUCGGUAUGGCAACCACAUCAUUUCUCUCUGCUUCUUUUUCCAUUUUCAUUCUCUCCACCCCAUCUUCCAAUAUGGUGAUUUUUAAUCACCUAAUAUCAUGGCACAAUGAACAGAUUGCCAUGAGUUGCAAGUGGAGGCCGCGCGAGACAAAACAAAGAGAGGGACUGGGAGAGAGAAGGCUCUGUCUCUAAUUAAAAAUAGCAAAUCUGAUGGGUGUGUGGAGGGGUUUGUUUGUAUGACCAUUCUUCAGUGUUUGUGCGACUGUGGGCACAGAUUCAUGCUUGGAUGUUUGCAUCCCACCUGCGUACUGCCAUUAGAGAGAGAGAGAGCACUUAAAGUUAUAAAGAUGGAUCUAACAGAAAUGAACAUUCAUUUUUCACACUUUAUACCCCACAAUCCAACUCCACUUCACUGCAGAGUAUGAUCAGGACCUGAGGACAUUGAAGCUGAUGCACCAUCAACUCAUAAAUACAGAUGAAAGCCUGAAUUAUAUAAACCACGUUAUAUAGUUUAUAAGACUGAGUUAACUCCGCUUUUAACUGGAUGUAAUUUCCCUGUUGGUUUCCUCAGAAACUCAGGAGUGGAAGAGCUGAGUACGAGAUAAUUCUGAUAAACAGUUGCAAACUGUCAGAUUUUCUUCUUCCAAUUCGAAAGGCACUAAUAAAUAUUUACAUCUUUAUCACAAUGUUUACGAGACUUAGAUCCUACAGUCUGACUGGCAACUCCUGCGGGCUGUUAUUAGUCACAGCAUUUAUUUGACUUAACAUGUCAAUAUUUAGCAGGUAUGAUGUUGACAAUAUUUACCACCUAGUUGUGUGAGCAAAGUAGAAAAAAAAAGAAAUAAACACAAAUUGUAAGGCUAAGGAUGAUGGGGAUUUAAUUUAUUAUCAGAUGGAGCAGGUGCUCCCUCACAUCACAUUGAAAGAAGCCAGUUGAAAUGGUUUGGGCAUUUGAUAAGUUUGCUUUUUGGGUGCUCCUAUUUGGAGGUGUUUUCGGUGUGCAGAAGGCUCAAGGGUAGACCCAGACCCUGCUUGACGGACUGUUAAUCCCACUGGGCCUGAGAACACCUCUGUAUCUCACAGGAGGAGCUGACAAUGUUGCUGUGUCAUCUUGCUUGGGCAGCUGCCUCUGCAACCUCACCCUGGAUAAGUGGAAGAAAAUGGAUAGAUGGGGGGGCAUAUUGUCUUCUGACCUUAUUGGAUUAUGAGCAAAGCUAAAGAAUUCAUCAUCUGAAAACAAUGAAAGACCCUGUUAAAGUGUGAUCAGCAGAUCACUUAAUAACAUUUGAGGUCAUACAAAUACUCCUUUACCCUUUAACAAGACAUGGGAUGAUUGUCUCACCUCAGUCAGGGUGCUUUUCUUUGGUCAGGUAUGUGCACACUCACACAACAUUUAUAUAUGGUUGUAAGCUGACUUAAACUAAUUCUAUAUGCUUAUUGUAGCUGUCAGAGAAAAGAGAAUUGGCCCCAGGUGCAGAGACUCACUGAAGCACAUUAUGAUUUUCCCUGGGCUAUUAUUACUCAUCAUAUAGUGGAUACAGCUGACAAUAAGAAAAGUGCUACUGCUCAGCAGAGCAGGCUAAAUAACUGACUUACCAGACCAAACAGUUGGCAACUAACAAGUAUAAAAACUGUAAUAUCCGUCACAUUGUAUAUGCUCUAUUGAAGGAGCCAUUAUGAAUACAGAUUUUGCAGCCUCAUGUGGAGAGCUGCAUCAAACUUAGCCACUGUUCAGCAUGCAGAUAGGAAAAUAUGAGGCUGACUUGAAUAAUUAGCAGGUUCCUUUCUCAUGUGAAUAGCAUAGUUACACUGAGGCAUAAUGAUGAGGGCUGUCAGAAUCAGCACCACGGACAGCUCUUGUGUUACCUUCACAGCACAGGCCAGCAGUAAACAGCACCAUGGACAGCAGCCAUGUUUUACUGAGUGACCAAAAACACACUAUUAUUUCAUCCAAAAUUCAGUCACCUACUACAAGUUAUCCUUGUGUAAUUAAUCACCUGUAAUAUCUUUUGACAUGCUUUACCAGUUGUAGAUCUGGGUUGCAGCUUCAUCCUGCCACAAAUGUAACAAAGACUGGUCUGAGAGUGUUCAGGUAUAUAUAGCCGUCCAUGUUUUCAAACAUUUUGCUUACAUCUUGUUGACCUGAAGGAUAGUCCAUGUAGAGUAAUAACAAAGCACAGCAUAUUUUGGGAGCUUGAGUGUUGUUAAAAGGAUAUUCCAGCAUAAAAUUAAUUUAGAGUCAAACACUGAGUUAGACACCCCCUCGAGAGCUGAAUGUUGCCGACCACUUGCUUCUCCAGUUAUACCAACUUUAGUAACGACCACAGGAUAGCAAUACACAGCAGUCUAAGGAGCCACACACAAACCUCAACCACAACGUCCCUCUAUAGCCACAAACAAUGCUCAGAACGGCACCUAACUUCAUCAACAGUACAUAUAGGGUCCCAGGCACAGCACUAGCCACCAAACAUCUUUUUAGCUUUGCCUGAUUUCUUAAGCAAAGAGUCUAAACACAACUCACCUACUCUCUUCCAGCAGCCGCUUGAGGUGGGGAGCGCAGCUGAAGGAAGAACAUUUAUGAUCAUUACUUUAUCACCCCCCUCCCCACCCCACCCCCCUCAAGCGGCUGCUGGAAGAUAGAAAGUGUGGUGAUGAUGGACUGGUCGAGGUCUCGCUAAAAACAAGAUGGCUAGUGCUAUGGCUAUGUGUUUGACCCUAAAUUAAUUUUUACGCCAGAAUAUCCCUUUAAACAUGUGUACAAGGUCCUUGUUGAGGAUGGUUGUUGGAGGCCCAUGGCUCCAGAAAUCUAGCACCAAAGUAUCCAUGGUAUUUGAGUUACACAGCUCCACCACCCUAAAGGAUGACAUGACUGGCUAAAGAAAAUCAUCCUGACACCAAAUGAUGCAUAAUUGUAGCCCCGCUACUUACUGUUACUCCAGUAUAAUUUGCAGAAGCUUGUCACUUUUCAAAUUUAAUCCAAAUACAGACAUUUAAAAGGUCUGCUUAUUUAACAUCACAUAGCCUGCAACCACACAAGACUGAUCAUCUAACUCAGCAGCGAGGGUUUACUUACUAAGCUUUCUGUCUUGUAAAUAUCAGAUCUAUUUUCGCCUGCUUGAGAUAAAGGACAAGAAAAUAUAUAGUCAAUAUGAAACCUCUAUAACUACCAAGAUGGCAUCGGUCUGGCAUCCAGUCCCACUGUAAGAAAUCUGGGAGUUUUAUUUGAUCAGGAUUUGUCCUUCCACUCCCACAUUCAACAAAUUUCUAGGACAGCCUUUUUCACCUACACAAUAUCUAAAAACAUUAGACACAUCCUGUCUUUCACCAAUGCAAAAAAAAGAAAAAGAAAAACUGUCAUGCUUUUGGACUCGAGGCUGGAUUGCUGCUCUAAUAGGUCUUUAAGGACUCUACAGCUGGUCCAAAAUGCCGCAGCUCAGUGUUGACUAGAACUAAGGAAAAAAAAAGCAAACCCUUGUCGCAACCUCUCUUCAUUGACUCCCUGGGGCAGCAGUUCCCCACAAACUGCCUCUCCCAACUGCAGGAAGCUCUGGGCCUUAAAACUCUGAGGCUCAGGUGAGACUGAUUGCCAAUCACAGACUCCACCUGGGCAGAUAGGGAGGACAAAGGGGAAAAACACACAUGCAAACACAAAGUCAUAACAAUAAACAAAAAUGGAUUGAUUGAAGGUACUCUGUAGUAGCAACAAUGAGUGACUCUGACUAAAAACUUAUUUUUGGUGACUUGCCUAACGCUGGUAAUACCAUGACUCGGCCCUACCAAAGCAAAUCAUCGCCCUGUAACAAAUUUGGAUGGAAAUGAAUAUGCUUUGUCCUGAUUAUCAGAAACUCAGCAACACAGUAGAAACCUUUAGAGAGGAAAUGAGGCCUUGGGCUACAAAUGAGAAUAAAAUUCAUUUCUGUACUUGUUUGUUUUGGGAAAUGAGCACACUGCUGAGACAUUCAAACAAAUGUAUGACUUUCAACAUCCUACACUGAAAGAUGUAAAUUUAUGAUGUGUAGCACUUGCUCCUCAGGAGCUGUCAUGGCGAAAAAUUUGAUCUUCUCCUGUUUGAGUGAUCAUUUAAAUGGUUCAGAUCUCUUUUAAGGGGCAGUGAUGUUUCUUUCUCCCUAUGGCACCGAAGUCUUCUGGACACUGUCAGACUUUUGUUUUGUGUUUCUUACUGGCCUUCCAGUAGUGUUUAAACUUAACCUUUUUCUACCAGUUGACUGGGUGUUUAUCUCCCAGAAACAUUUCUAUCUAAGCCCUAAUGUAAUUCUAAUCUAAUGCUGAUGAAUCCACUUUGCCUUUACUUUACUAUCUAAUUUGAAAGCUCGCUGAUGCAAGGAAUCCCUGCACAGUGAUUACAGUCUGAACUGAUGCCCCAAGAGUGCCUUACAGACUUGCAAACAGGCAUGAGCCUUUGUAGAGAGAGGAUUUUCUUUUUUGUCUGAAUAAUUAGGAUCUCUGAGGUGCCUUGCAGUUUCAUCUUUGAACGCAUAUGGCACAGAGCUAAGUUUGGAUUUCUUGCCUAAUCUGCCGUUGCAUAUUCCUGUAUGAAGCUUAAGAAAUCUCUGACAGAAUCAAGAUAUUAAAGUAACCAUUCCACAAGUAACACAGCAGGUAAAGCUGCAGCUGUUAUCACGCUGACUUUUGGAGGGAAAAAAUCCAAGAAACUAAAGUGAUCUUGUUAAGACAGGAAUAGAUAAUCAUCUAUUACCUCAGUGACAGGGAUUCAACUCACAAAAAUCUAAUAAAAUGCACAAUGACAGGCUGUGAUGCAUUUUAAAAAUAAUGACUAAAUCUGCUUAUUUAUAGCACCUUCUUUUUUACCUGUGAUACAGCAAUAAACAAGCACACUAACGCACCCAUCAUGUGGUUGAUGUGGCAACUUCAUAUCUUUGUCAUCAUCAUGUCUGAUAGGCAGAGAGUGUGGAAAAGAGGUAGUGAUCUGUUUGUUUAAAUGAAAAAAGAAAAAGAAAUUUAUUUUAUUAUCAUAGUAUUCAUUUUUCUUUAUACCUGAAUACAGGGGGAAAAAAAGCUGUCUUUCUUAAUAUAUCCUAUUUCUGUGAGAUCAAAAUCACAUCCCAGAUAGGAAUCUUAACUGAUGAUAGGCUAUUACAAAAGCAAUAUGUGCCAGGCCCAGAGUCUCUCACUGGAUAGCACAGUUGAUCUCACAGAUACAGUUCCAUUCAGCAUCAAAUGGCAUCAUGUCAGACUGCUUUAAUACCAGGCCAAUUAUCGACUCCCUUCACCCUGCUCCAUGUAAUCUGGCAUGGUGUAUCCAGUGUCUUCUUGCCAACCACAGCAGGGAGGAAAAAGGCUUUAUCUGGGUGGUUUGGAUGCAAUCAUUAUCAUAGUUCUAUUCUUAAAAGACCCGGUGAAAUUAUCAUACAAUAACACAUGCUGGAAAGGGCAUACCAUUGCCUACCACCAUCUUUACUAUCGUUUUUUAUCCCUUUUCCUGCUUCUUGGCUCAGCCUGCCACCAGUUUUAAGUUUUUCUGGCAUUCAGGAGUAGGUCUUUGUCUGAGACCAGCUACUCAAGUCCUAAGAGGCUUUCUGGUCUAUUUUUCCUUGUCAGUUUGAGCCGUGUCAUUAAACCUAGUAGUAUUUGGAGCUGAAAUUAGCCACAUAGUCAUGUAAUGAUAAGGGAUACAGCAGUGGGCUUAAAACACAGUCCUGUUGUACACAAGCACUAAAGAAGUGAAUGUGGUGUUUCCAUCUUCAGCAGUGAGCCACAGCUUGUUUCUUGGUCAGAUGGUGGGUGGUUUGAUCCCAUCUUUAAUGAUCCACAUGUGGGAGUGUCCUAAAUUCACCCAACAACCUUUUUUACUGUGAUAAAGGCGAGAUAAUGAUGAGCUAAAAGUGCCACACUAACAAUAGACUUUAAAACUAUGGACUCUGCAUCUGGGGGUGUGUAAACUGAUGACAGCCCUCUCUGAUGGUUAGAAGCACCACUACACCGCUCCUGCAUUUAUGGAUUUUGGAAAUUACAGUUGCACAGUUGUACACUUACCGUAUUGUCAGAAAGCCCAACCAUAUUUUUCAUAUUUGCAAAUAUUAAACAUGAGUUUCCACGUUUGGUAGAGUAGCCUGUUUUUCCUUUUAAACUUUAAUCAUUCACAAAUUUUACAUAAAAAAAAAUUUCUAGAAAAGUUUCCUUUCCAAUUGCUUCAAACAACAGUCACAUGUUGUUGUAUUUUCAGUACAGACUCAGACACUUUAGACGAAGGCAUGUAGAAAUAAUAUAAACUCCAAAGCUGAAGCCCAUCUCUACAAAGUGAUUAAUCUAGGCUGAAUUAUCCAAUAAAAGAUUACAAAAGUAAAUGUGUUUAGACAAUUAAAUGUUGCUUUAAAGAUUAAAAACUUGGUACAACCUUGAUUUCAAUUUAUGAUCAGCUAAAUGAAUUAGUUUGAAAAAGAUAAUCGUUUUAAUAACAGUAAUGACAACAGUUGAAAGACUUUUCAUUGACUGAUGUUAGACAACACCAAAGUUACAAAUUAACUAUCAGAAAAGACACAAUACCAGUACAGUAGAAUAGGCAGGGAUGUGUGAAUGGGAUUAGUCAGUACUGGUGGAUGCUCUGUGUAGCAUCCUCAGCUAUCGGUGUAUGAAAGUGGGAUGAAUGUGUAAACGUGGCAUGUAGUGGAAGUGCUUUGAGCAGUCAGAGGGCGAGAGAAAGUGCUACAUGAACAGACCGUCUACCAUUUACCGUAACUGAAGCUGUCCUUGAGGAAGUCAAGGAUUCACAUGCAGAGUGUGUAAUCUCAGGUCAGUGAACUCUGACAGUUCUGGUGUUUGAAUUAACUCUAGUCAAUGACACGCUGAGUGGAUGAUAUGUGAAGAAUUGCUUUGUGAAUGGCUUGGUUCAAUAGGUAAAGUGUAGAAGGUCCCAGUUUGCUAUGAUGUUUGACCAAGUAUCACUGAAGAGGUGAGAGUCACUGUCACUGUCAGAGUCUGAACUUGUUUCCUUGGAGAAAGGAGUGCUGCUUGAAAGGUUUGAUUCAAGGAAAACUGAGGACCACAAAGAAUUUAAUCAGUGACAUUAUCAUUGAGAAAAAGGUACAAAUACACUGAUCUUCCUCCCGUCUCUGAGACAAAAAAGGAGCCAGUUAAUGUAGUUUUAUUUCAGAGAAGAAACUAAAUCUAGAGGCUGCAAAUUAAUGAACCAAACAAUGUACGUAAUUUAAUUACAUGCUCACUCAAUGCCAAGUCACACAUUAAAAAUAUUGGCAAGCCUGUAUAUUCUGAGAUGCCUUAUGAACUGCUACUUAGACUUUUUUCCCACCACUAAUCCUUUAAAGACCAAGCCAAUGUAAAUCCAAAAUAUUACUUUAAAGUUUGUUUUUAAACCUAAAUUAAUUUAAGGCAAAUCACACUCUGUGUAGACCUUUUUAAGCAACCAUUGGUUUUAUUUGGCUGAAAAAAAAUCAUUUUACAUAAUGUCAAACUGCUCUAUAGGCGUUUUAAAAGAUGACACCAAAGCAGUUGAACAUGUUAGAUCACUAGUGCAUGAUAAAAUAAGGAAAGUUAAUGUUAACCCAACCUCUUUAAAAAGCUUGAUGGUCAUGGUUGCAAUGAACCUUGACUCCCGGGUUAAAGACAGCAGCUAAAACAAAGCAUUUCAUACAGAGGCGGAAAUAAUGAUAUUUUAAUACACCAGAGUGAGAAACACAAAUCACCUAAAGCUAUUAAAGAGGUAUCAGAAAGGAAGUAUAGGGUCUGAAAAAAUGCAUAACACCCCCUUUUUAAAUACUGCAUAGAAACAUGUUGAUUACCUUCACUACCUUCUGAACUCCUCUAAUCUGGGUUUCAACUCCUCUUUUGAAACAUGAGUAAUCAUGAUCCUCUUUCCUCCUACAAUAUCAGCUGUUUGAACUUCACUAGCAGGUCCUUGAUUCUCAGCAGGUUGUUUUCAGACUGUAACAAAGCGCUGCACUGUGCCUCUACUUUGCUGAGAAUGACUGGAGUUUGUGUGGACACUACCAGCACACUAAUUAGUGAGUAUGCUAUUUAAGUAACUACCCUCAGUAUGAACAGAGUGUCUCAACUACCAUCAGAAAUGCACGAAAACAUCCUCUGCUGCUUUUUACUGUGCAUUUGAAGUUGGAUAACUGAGUAGACUUAAUGCAUGUAAAAUGAGAAAAAUGAUCAUCUUCCUUUGUUGUCAAUGACAUUUCAUUUCCACUUUAGGAUCAAAGAGCUCAAAAGCCUUGAACGUCAAUUUAUUCACUGACUAAAAUAAUGUCAUUUUCUUUCUUUAGUUCUUUUUUUAUAAUCCUUUUUUCUGAGAAUUCUUCUGCAGAAAAGUUUUUCUUUUUUUUCAUCAACUAGCAGGUCAGUGCAGUCACAGCUGUCUCUAAAUUGAUGAAGUAUGAAGGAGCUUUCACACAAAUACCUGCAGACAUUCAGAGUGCCUUGUUGCUAUAGAAAAAGUCCUUUUCAGACUAGUCUACCAUGACCCCAUGCUACAAUGUUUAAUUAUUUUGUCUCUCUCUCUCUCUCUCACACACACACACACACAGUAAUACAGACAGAGAAGAAAUGAAGACAAAGCUGCUUUUGAAAGGAGGUGAAGACUGUAAUGUGAUGAUGGGGAACUUUAAAAACUACUACUCUCUUCUGGGUGACAGGCAGCACACAGCAAAUUUGUUAGCUUGUUAUUAAUGAUACCGUUAUAAGAUAUAUUAUAUUUUUGUAACAUGACUAAACAUUAUGAUGUCUUUAAAAAUAAUUUUGUCAAAAUUUGUCAGAUUUAAACAACGGCUGCCACAAUAUAUCUGUAUUUACGAGAAUCAUCUUUGCUUUAAAAAUGAAACAUUAAUACUGUGCUAAAUAAGCAUAGCGUAAAUUUUACAAGGUGUAUACUGUAUGCUAGGACUAGUUGGUGUCUACAACACUUUCACCCCGACUACACAGCUGUUUCAUACUGUAGGGUCUCAGUGAAUAAAGAUAGACACACAGUAUUGAGGGUAGAGCGACAGUUCAGGAUCUUUCUUUAUCAGGAUCUUUUUCCUGGGCUCUUUUUUAUAUUAGUACUAAAGUCAGCUUUUUUUUCUUAUUGAUUUACACUCUGAAAUACACAUUUUUUAUUUUUUAUUUAUUAAUUUUUUUCCUGGAUGACAUUAAUGACCUUUUCUGAAUCUGAUCUAACAACAAUAAUGACAGUAAAAGAUCAACAAGGCAGAAAAAGCCAAUCUUUUCACUGACGGUCUGGUAUUGCAAUUUAUCCACUCACCUCAAAGUCUGUGUUUACUGCAAGAUGAAUUGGUUUCUUACCCUUCUGCAGCUUCCAGCCUGCUUCGUCUCCCUGGAAUGGCUUUUUAUCCGCACACAAAAUGCAAAAAAAAGAGCCCCCAUCCAAAUUGAGUGGGAGGCCAAGACCCAUGUACAUAUGUGCCCUGGACUAGGAUGAAUACAUUCACAUUGUGCACAUAAACAUGAAAGCAAGGCUACAACUACCCCGGGCUAAAGCGAGGGGAAAAAAAUAUGAAAAAUGGAAGAAAAAAAAAACAGAAAGAAAGAAAAGCUUAAGAGUUAAAGAGACAGCACAAAGGUAUUGAUAGAGAGCUUAAGUGACUGAAAGAGCUCAGUAGUAAAGAACUAAAGGCUUAUGCCACGGCCAUCCUUGUCCUCUGUCAUAUUACGUUUCAUCCUGUUUCAUAGACUACAGCCACACUUGUUAAACUAGAUAGCUGUUAACAACUGACCAUCAAGAGAGCACUUGACUUGGUGUAUCCCUGUGAAGUUUGACCCUGUGUUUAAGUGAAAUGAUGAGCUUGAAGCAGAGUAGAUACUGCUAGAGGCAAGAAAUACAGAGGCAAACAUCUGUUAUUUGCUGCUUGAAUCACAAGUGCUUUAAAGUACAUACAGGCACCAAUCACUUUCAGAACUCUUCAAGGGCUCCAUUGAAGUAUCUGCAAAUCUAUUUCAGCGCCUUUCUUGCAUAUUGUAACCUUCGUCUUUUAUAUUAUUACAUUACUUACAUGGAGACAUAGCUGCACAAUUUUCCAAAGGUCUCAUAAAAUCAGGAAAAAAUAGGUCCAAAAAUAUAGAGCUAACAUCUGAAUUGUUCUCCUGCUCCUAACAUUAGUCUGUGUUAAAUAAUCAAUAGCAACAGCCUUGAGAUUUUUUGCAUUGAAGUAGUUUCUGCAUACUGUUGCUUAGCUGCUGUUAUGUUCUUAUUUUUUAUGUAAUUCUUUAGUUAUUUCUAUUUUGAGCAGUUGUUGGCAUCAAUGCUUGUGUUUACUUUGAAGACUAUGCUCUAACAUGGUCAUCACCAAAUAUCCAAACAGCUUAUGACUUUAAAAGUGGUUGAUAACUAUUAUAUUGCAAUAUGGAGUUAGUUUGACUUUCAGACUCUAUUCGGUUGAUCUUCUCCAAAUUUUUUACCUGUGAGAACUGAAACUUCAUUUCGCUCACUUUUGGUGUCAACUUGCACAAUCCUGUCUGUAACAACGUGUAUGGGUCCUGGUUCUGCAGCAUAAAUCUCAGACCGGUUUGUUUAAAAAUCAGUGUAAAAGCUUUGAUUUCCUUUCAGAGUGUACAUACUACGAAAGAGGAUUAGGGCCACAUGAACAGAAAAAAAAUGAUUACAGGAGGGCGAUUUUUUUAAUCUCCAUUUCAGAUUAAAGUUGAAAUUUCAAGAUCAAAGUUGAAAUUUUUUAUAAAAGUCGAAAUGGAAAAAAAGUCCUUAUAUUCUAACUUGUUGUUUAAGAUGACAGUUGUUGAAAUGAAAGCCAUGGAGCAUUUUGUGAAAAUGUAGUUCAAUAUAAGUUUCUCAAACAAGGAGGUACUUAAUCUUAUGGCACAUCAGCACCACAUUAUCAUAAGUAACAUGAUAAUUUUAUUACAACUUUAUUCUCGUUAUCAAUUAGUUUAUUAUGACAUUAUUCUCGUUAGUAAUGACUUUGUUCUCGUAAAUUAAUAACUUAAAUCUUGAAGUCUUAUUUUUUUUUCUAAAUGUGGCCCUAAUACUCCAUCGUAACAUACAGACUCCUCCUUUUAAGGUUGGAGCUAGGGUUAGGGUUAGGGUUAGGGUUGGAGCUAGGGUUAGGGUUAGGGUUAGGGUUGGAGCUAGGGUUAGGGUUAGGGUUAGGGUUGGAGUUAGGGUUAGUGUUGGAGCUAGGGUUAGGGUUGGGCUUGGAGCUAGGAUUUUUCUGAGUGCAAUGAACCAACUCCCGAGUCUCUAGGACGUUCCUAAAAAAAUUUGAUUUUUUCCCAUAGGAAUGCAUGGGUUAGGGUUAGGGUUAGGGUUAGGGUUGGAGCUAGGGUUAGGGUUAGGGUUAGGGUUGGAGUUAGGGUAAGUGUUGGAGCUAGGGUUAUGGAUGGGCUUGGAGCUAGGAUUUUUCUGAGUGCAAUGAACCAACUCCCGAGUCUCUAGGACGUUCCUAAAAAAAUUUGAUUUUUUCCCAUAGGAAUGCAUGGGUUAGGGUUAGGGUUAGGGUUGGAGCUAGGGUUAGGGUUAGGGUUAGGGUUGGAGUUAGGGUUAGUGUUGGAGCUAGGGUUAGGGUUGGGCUUGGAGCUAGGAUUUUUCUGAGUGCAAUGAACCAACUCCCGAGUCUCUAGGACGUUCCUAAAAAAAUUUGAUUUUUUCCCAUAGGAAUGCAUGGGUUAGGGUUAGGGUUAGGGUUGGGGUUAGGGUUAGGGUUAGGGUUGGAGUUAGGGUUAGUGUUGGAGCUAGGGUUAGGGUUGGGCUUGGAGCUAGGAUUUUUCUGAGUGCAAUGAACCAACUCCCGAGUCUCUAGGACGUUCCUAAAAAAAUUUGAUUUUUUCCCAUAGGAAUGCAUGGGUUAGGGUUAGGGUAAGGGUUGGAGCUAGGGUUAGGGUUAGGGUUAAGGUUGGAGUUAGGGUUAGUGUUGGAGCUAGGGUUAGGGUUGGGCUUGGAGCUAGGAUUUUUCUGAGUGCAAUGAACCAACUUCCGAGUCUCUAGGACGUUCCUAAAAAAAUUUGAUUUUUUCCCAUAGGAAUGCAUUAGUUAGGGUUGGAGCUAGGGUUAGGGUUAGGGUUAGGGUUGGAGUUAGGGUUAGUGUUGGAGCUAGGGUUAGGGUUGGGCUUGGAGCUAGGAUUUUUCUGAGUGCAAUGAACCAACUCCCGAGUCUCUAGGACGUUUCUAAAAAAAUUUGAUUUUUUCCCAUAGGAAUGCAUGGGUUAGGGUUAGGGUUAGGGUUGGAGCUAGGGUUAGGGUUAGGGUUAGGGUUGGAGUUAGGGUUAGUGUUGGAGCUAGGGUUAGGGUUGGGCUUGGAGCUAGGAUUUUUCUGAGUGCAAUGAACCAACUCCCGAGUCUCUAGGACGUUCCUAAAAAAAAAUUGAUUUCUUCCCAUAGGAAUGCAUGGGUUAGGGUUAGGGUUAGGGUUGGAGCUAGGGUUAGGGUUAGGGUUAGGGUUGGAGUUAGGGUUAGUGUUGGAGCUAGGGUUAGGGUUGGGCUUGGAGCUAGGAUUUUUCUGAGUGCAAUGAACCAACUCCCGAGUCUCUAGGACGUUCCUAAAAAAAAUUGAUUUUUUCCCAUAGGAAUGCAUGGGUUAGGGUUAGGGUUAGGGUUGGAGCUAGGGUUAGGGUUAGGGUUAGGGUUGGAGUUAGGGUUAGUGUUGGAGCUAGGGUUAGGGUUGGGCUUGGAGCUAGGAUUUUUCUGAGUGCAAUGAACCAACUCCUGAGUCUCUAGGACGUUCCUUAAAAAAAUUUGAUUUUUUCCCAUAGGAAUGCAUGGGUUAGGGUUAGGGUUAGGGUUGGAGCUAGGGUUAGGGUUAGGGUUAGGGUUGGAGUUAGGGUUAGUGUUGGAGCUAGGGUUAGGGUUGGGCUUGGAGCUAGGAUUUUUCUGAGUGCAAUGAACCAACUCCCGAGUCUCUAGGACGUUCCUAAAAAAAUUUGAUUUUUUCCCAUAGGAAUGCAAGGAUUAGGGUUAGGGUUAGGGUUGGAGCUAGGGUUAGGGUUAGGGUUGGAGUUAGGGUUAGUGUUGGAGCUAGGGUUAGGGUUGGGCUUGGAGCUAGGAUUUUUCUGAGUGCAAUGAACCAACUCCCGAGUCUCUAGGACGUUCCUUUAAAAAAUUUGAUUUUUUCCCAUAGGAAUGCAUGGGUUAGGGUUAGGGUUAGGGUUGGAGCUAGGGUUAGGGUUAGGGUUAGGGUUGGAGUUAGGGUUAGUGUUGGAGCUAGGGUUAGGGUUGGGCUUGGAGCUAGGAUUUUUCUGAGUGCAAUGAACCAACUCCCGAGUCUCUAGGACGUUUCUAAAAAAAUUUGAUUUUUUCCCAUAGGAAUGCAUGGGUUAGGGUUAGGGUUGGAGCUAGGGUUAGGGUUAGGGUUAGGGUUGGAGUUAGGGUUAGUGUUGGAGCUAGGGUUAUGGUUGGGCUUGGAGCUAGGAUUUUUCUGAGUGCAAUGAACCAACUCCCGAGUCUCUAGGACGUUCCUAAAAAAAUUUGAUUUUUUCCCAUAGGAAUGCAUGGGUUAGGGUUAGGGUUAGGGUUGGAGCUACGGUUAGGGUUAGGGUUAGGGUUGGAGUUAGGGUUAGGGUUAGGGUUGGGCUUGGAGCUAGGAUUUUUCUGAGUGCAAUGAACCAACUCCCGAGUCUCUAGGACGUUCCUUUAAAAAAUUUGAUUUUUUCCCAUAGGAAUGCAUGGGUUAGGGUUAGGGUUAGGGUUGGAGCUAGGGUUAGGGUUAGGGUUAGGGUUGGAGUUAGGGUUAGUGUUGGAGCUAGGGUUAGGGUUGGGCUUGGAGCUAGGAUUUUUCUGAGUGCAAUGAACCAACUCCCGAGUCUCUAGGACGUUCCUAAAAAAAAAUUGAUUUCUUCCCAUAGGAAUGCAUGGGUUAGGGUUAGGGUUAGGGUUGGAGCUAGGGUUAGGGUUAGGGUUAGGGUUGGAGUUAGGGUUAGUGUUGGAGCUAGGGUUAGGGUUGGGCUUGGAGCUAGGAUUUUUCUGAGUGCAAUGAACCAACUCCCGAGUCUCUAGGACGUUCCUAAAAAAAUUUGAUUUUUUCCCAUAGGAAUGCAUGGGUUAGGGUUAGGGUUAGGGUUGGAGCUAGGGUUAGGGUUAGGGUUAGGGUUGGAGUUAGGGUUAGUGUUGGAGCUAGGGUUAGGGUUGGGCUUGGAGCUAGGAUUUUUCUGAGUGCAAUGAACCAACUCCUGAGUCUCUAGGACGUUCCUUAAAAAAAUUUGAUUUUUUCCCAUAGGAAUGCAUGGGUUAGGGUUAGGGUUAGGGUUGGAGCUAGGGUUAGGGUUAGGGUUAGGGUUGGAGUUAGGGUUAGUGUUGGAGCUAGGGUUAGGGUUGGGCUUGGAGCUAGGAUUUUUCUGAGUGCAAUGAACCAACUCCCGAGUCUCUAGGACGUUCCUAAAAAAAUUUGAUUUUUUCCCAUAGGAAUGCAUGGGUUAGGGUUAGGGUUAGGGUUGGAGCUAGGGUUAGGGUUAGGGUUGGAGUUAGGGUUAGUGUUGGAGCUAGGGUUAGGGUUGGGCUUGGAGCUAGGAUUUUUCUGAGUGCAAUGAACCAACUCCCGAGUCUCUAGGACGUUCCUAAAAAAAUUUGAUUUUUUCCCAUAGGAAUGCAUGGGUUAGGGUUAGGGUUAGGGUUGGAGCUAGGGUUAGGGUUAGGGUUAGGGUUGAGGUUAGGGUUAGUGUUGGAGCUAGGGUUAGGGUUGGGCUUGGAGCUAGGAUUUUUCUGAGUGCAAUAAACCAACUCCCGAGUCUCUAGGACGUUCCUAAAAAAAAUUGAUUUUUUCCCAUAGGAAUGCAUGGGUUAGGGUUAGGGUUAGGGUUGGAGCUAGGGUUAGGGUUAGGGUUAGGGUUGGAGUUAGGGUUAGGGUUAGGGUUAGGGUUAGGGUUGGGCUUGGAGCUAGGAUUUUUCUGAGUGCAAUGAACCAACUCCCGAGUCUCUAGGACGUUCCUAAAAAAAAAUUGAUUUCUUCCCAUAGGAAUGCAUGGGUUAGGGUUAGGGUUAGGGUUGGAGCUAGGGUUAGGGUUAGGGUUAGGGUUGGAGUUAGGGUUAGUGUUGGAGCUAGGGUUAGGGUUGGGCUUGGAGCUAGGAUUUUUCUGAGUGCAAUGAACCAACUCCCGAGUCUCUAGGACGUUCCUAAAAAAAUUUGAUUUUUUCCCAUAGGAAUGCAUGGGUUAGGGUUAGGGUUAGGGUUGGAGCUAGGGUUAGGGUUAGGGUUGGAGUUAGGGUUAGUGUUGGAGCUAGGGUUAGGGUUGGGCUUGGAGCUAGGAUUUUUCUGAGUGCAAUGAACCAACUCCCGAGUCUCUAGGACGUUCCUAAAAAAAUUUGAUUUUUUUCCCAUAGGAAUGCAUGGGUUAGGGUUAGGGUUAGGGUUGGAGCUAGGGUUAGGGUUAGGGUUAGGGUUGGAGUUAGGGUUAGUGUUGGAGCUAGGGUUAGGGUUGGGCUUGGAGCUAGGAUUUUUCUGAGUGCAAUGAACCAACUCCCGAGUCUCUAGGACGUUCCUUAAAAAAUUUUUAUUUUUUCCCAUAGGAAUGCAUGGGUUAGGGUUAGGGUUAGGGUUGGAGCUAGGGUUAGGGUUAGGGUUAGGGUUAGGGUUAAGGUUGGAGUUAGGGUUAGUGUUGGAGCUAGGGUUAGGGUUGGGCUUGGAGCUAGGAUUUUUCUGAGUGCAAUGAACCAACUCCUGAGUCUCUAGGACGUUCCUGAAAAAAAAUGAUUUUUUCCCAUAGGAAUGCAUGGGUUAGGGUUAGGGUUAGGGUUGGAGCUAGGGUUAGGGUUAGGGUUAGGGUUGGAGUUAGGGUUAGUGUUGGAGCUAGGGUUAGGGUUGGGCUUGGAGCUAGGAUUUUUCUGAGUGCAAUGAACCAACUCCCGAGUCUCUAGGACGUUCCUUUAAAAAUUUGAUUUUUUCCCAUAGGAAUGCAUGGGUUAGGGUUAGGGUUAGGGUUGGAGCUAGGGUUAGGGUUAGGGUUGGAGUUAGGGUUAGUGUUGGAGCUAGGGAUAGGGUUGGGCUUGGAGCUAGGAUUUUUCUGAGUGCAAUGAACCAACUCCCGAGUCUCUAGGACGUUCCUAAAAAAAUUGAUUUUUUUCCCAUAGGAAUGCAUGGGUUAGGGUUAGGGUUAGGGUUGGAGCUAGGGUUAGGGUUAGGGUUAGGGUUGGAGUUAGGGUUAGGGUUAGGGUUGGGCUUGGAGCUAGGAUUUUUCUGAGUGCAAUGAACCAACUCCCGAGUCUCUAGGAUGUUCCUUUAAAAUAUUAGAUUUUUUCCCAUAGGAAUGCAUGGGUUAGGGUUAGGGUUAGGGUUGGAGCUAGGGUUAGGGUUAGGGUUAGGGUUGGAGUUAGGGUUAGUGUUGGAGCUAGGGUUAGGGUUGGGCUUGGAGCUAGGAUUUUUCUGAGUGCAAUGAACCAACUCCUGAGUCUCUAGGACGUUCCUUAAAAAAAUUUGAUUUUUUCCCAUAGGAAUGCAUGGGUUAGGGUUAGGGUUAGGGUUGGAGCUAGGGUUAGGGUUAGGGUUAGGGUUGGAGUUAGGGUUAGUGUUGGAGCUAGGGUUAGGGUUGGGCUUGGAGCUAGGAUUUUUCUGAGUGCAAUGAACCAACUCCCGAGUCUCUAGGACGUUCCUAAAAAAAUUUGAUUUUUUCCCAUAGGAAUGCAUGGGUUAGGGUUAGGGUUAGGGUUGGAGCUAGGGUUAGGGUUAGGGUUGGAGUUAGGGUUAGUGUUGGAGCUAGGGUUAGGGUUGGGCUUGGAGCUAGGAUUUUUCUGAGUGCAAUGAACCAACUCCCGAGUCUCUAGGACGUUCCUAAAAAAAUUUGAUUUUUUCCCAUAGGAAUGCAUGGGUUAGGGUUAGGGUUAGGGUUGGAGCUAGGGUUAGGGUUAGGGUUAGGGUUGGAGUUAGGGUUAGUGUUGGAGCUAGGGUUAGGGUUGGGCUUGGAGCUAGGAUUUUUCUGAGUGCAAUGAACCAACUCCCGAGUCUCUAGGACGUUUCUAAAAAAAUUUGAUUUUUUCCCAUAGGAAUGCAUGGGUUAGGGUUAGGGUUAGGGUUGGAGCUAGGGUUAGGGUUAGGGUUAGGGUUGGAGUUAGGGUUAGUGUUGGAGCUAGGGUUAGGGUUGGGCUUGGAGCUAGGAUUUUUCUGAGUGCAAUGAACCAACUCCCGAGUCUCUAGGACGUUCCUAAAAAAAAAUUGAUUUCUUCCCAUAGGAAUGCAUGGGUUAGGGUUAGGGUUAGGGUUGGAGCUAGGGUUAGGGUUAGGGUUAGGGUUGGAGUUAGGGUUAGUGUUGGAGCUAGGGUUAGGGUUGGGCUUGGAGCUAGGAUUUUUCUGAGUGCAAUGAACCAACUCCCGAGUCUCUAGGACGUUCCUAAAAAAAAUUUGAUUUUUUCCCAUAGGAAUGCAUGGGUUAGGGUUAGGGUUAGGGUUGGAGCUAGGGUUAGGGUUAGGGUUAGGGUUGGAGUUAGGGUUAGGGUUAGGGUUGGGCUUGGAGCUAGGAUUUUUCUGAGUGCAAUGAACCAACUCCCGAGUCUCUAGGAUGUCCCUUUAAAAAAUUUGAUUUUUUUCCCAUAGGAAUGCAUGGGUUAGGGUUAGGGUUAGGGUUGGAGCUAGGGUUAGGGUUAGGGUUAGGGUUGGAGUUAGGGUUAGUGUUGGAGCUAGGGUUAGGGUUGGGCUUGGAGCUAGGAUUUUUCUGAGUGCAAUGAACCAACUCCCGAGUCUCUAGGACGUUCCUAAAAAAAAAUUGAUUUCUUCCCAUAGGAAUGCAUGGGUUAGGGUUAGGGUUAGGGUUGGAGCUAGGGUUAGGGUUAGGGUUAGGGUUGGAGUUAGGGUUAGUGUUGGAGCUAGGGUUAGGGUUGGGCUUGGAGCUAGGAUUUUUCUGAGUGCAAUGAACCAACUCCCGAGUCUCUAGGACGUUCCUAAAAAAAUUUGAUUUUUUCCCAUAGGAAUGCAUGGGUUAGGGUUAGGGUUAGGGUUGGAGCUAGGGUUAGGGUUAGGGUUAGGGUUGGAGUUAGGGUUAGUGUUGGAGCUAGGGUUAGGGUUGGGCUUGGAGCUAGGAUUUUUCUGAGUGCAAUGAACCAACUCCUGAGUCUCUAGGACGUUCCUUAAAAAAAUUUGAUUUUUUCCCAUAGGAAUGCAUGGGUUAGGGUUAGGGUUAGGGUUGGAGCUAGGGUUAGGGUUAGGGUUAGGGUUGGAGUUAGGGUUAGUGUUGGAGCUAGGGUUAGGGUUGGGCUUGGAGAUAGGAUUUUUCUGAGUGCAAUGAACCAACUCCCGAGUCUCUAGGACGUUCCUAAAAAAAUUUGAUUUUUUCCCAUAGGAAUGCAUGGGUUAGGGUUAGGGUUAGGGUUGGAGCUAGGGUUAGGGUUAGGGUUGGAGUUAGGGUUAGUGUUGGAGCUAGGGUUAGGGUUGGGCUUGGAGCUAGGAUUUUUCUGAGUGCAAUGAACCAACUCCCGAGUCUCUAGGACGUUCCUAAAAAAAUUUGAUUUUUUCCCAUAGGAAUGCAUGGGUUAGGGUUAGGGUUAGGGUUGGAGCUAGGGUUAGGGUUAGGGUUAGGGUUGGAGUUAGGGUUAGUGUUGGAGCUAGGGUUAGGGUUGGGCUUGGAGCUAGGAUUUUUCUGAGUGCAAUGAACCAACUCCCGAGUCUCUAGGACGUUCCUAAAAAAAAUUGAUUUUUUCCCAUAGGAAUGCAUGGGUUAGGGUUAGGGUUAGGGUUGGAGCUAGGGUUAGGGUUAGGGUUAGGGUUGGAGUUAGGGUUAGGGUUAGGGUUAGGGUUAGGGUUAGGGUUGGGCUUGGAGCUAGGAUUUUUCUGAGUGCAAUGAACCAACUCCCGAGUCUCUAGGACGUUCCUUAAAAAAAAAUUGAUUUCUUCCCAUAGGAAUGCAUGGGUUAGGGUUAGGGUUAGGGUUGGAGCUAGGGUUAGGGUUAGGGUUAGGGUUGGAGUUAGGGUUAGUGUUGGAGCUAGGGUUAGGGUUGGGCUUGGAGCUAGGAUUUUUCUGAGUGCAAUGAACCAACUCCCGAGUCUCUAGGACGUUCCUAAAAAAAUUUGAUUUUUUCCCAUAGGAAUGCAUGGGUUAGGGUUAGGGUUAGGGUUGGAGCUAGGGUUAGGGUUAGGGUUGGAGUUAGGGUUAGUGUUGGAGCUAGGGUUAGGGUUGGGCUUGGAGCUAGGAUUUUUCUGAGUGCAAUGAACCAACUCCCGAGUCUCUAGGACGUUCCUAAAAAAAUUUGAUUUUUUCCCAUAGGAAUGCAUGGGUUAGGGUUAGGGUUAGGGUUGGAGCUAGGGUUAGGGUUAGGGUUAGGGUUGGAGUUAGGGUUAGUGUUGGAGCUAGGGUUAGGGUUGGGCUUGGAGCUAGGAUUUUUCUGAGUGCAAUGAACCAACUCCCGAGUCUCUAGGACGUUCCUUAAAAAAUUUUUAUUUUUUCCCAUAGGAAUGCAUGGGUUAGGGUUAGGGUUAGGGUUGGAGCUAGGGUUAGGGUUAGGGUUAGGGUUAGGGUUAAGGUUGGAGUUAGGGUUAGUGUUGGAGCUAGGGUUAGGGUUGGGCUUGGAGCUAGGAUUUUUCUGAGUGCAAUGAACCAACUCCUGAGUCUCUAGGACGUUCCUGAAAAAAAAUGAUUUUUUCCCAUAGGAAUGCAUGGGUUAGGGUUAGGGUUAGGGUUGGAGCUAGGGUUAGGGUUAGGGUUAGGGUUGGAGUUAGGGUUAGUGUUGGAGCUAGGGUUAGGGUUGGGCUUGGAGCUAGGAUUUUUCUGAGUGCAAUGAACCAACUCCCGAGUCUCUAGGACGUUCCUUUAAAAAAUUUGAUUUUUUCCCAUAGGAAUGCAUGGGUUAGGGUUAGGGUUAGGGUUGGAGCUAGGGUUAGGGUUAGGGUUGGAGUUAGGGUUAGUGUUGGAGCUAGGGCUAGGGUUGGGCUUGGAGCUAGGAUUUUUCUGAGUGCAAUGAACCAACUCCCGAGUCUCUAGGACGUUCCUAAAAAAAUUGAUUUUUUUCCCAUAGGAAUGCAUGGGUUAGGGUUAGGGUUAGGGUUGGAGCUAGGGUUAGGGUUAGGGUUAGGGUUGGAGUUAGGGUUAGGGUUAGGGUUGGGCUUGGAGCUAGGAUUUUUCUGAGUGCAAUGAACCAACUCCCGAGUCUCUAGGAUGUUCCUUUAAAAUAUUAGAUUUUUUCCCAUAGGAAUGCAUGGGUUAGGGUUAGGGUUAGGGUUGGAGCUAGGGUUAGGGUUAGGGUUAGGGUUGGAGUUAGGGUUAGUGUUGGAGCUAGGGUUAGGGUUGGGCUUGGAGCUAGGAUUUUUCUGAGUGCAAUGAACCAACUCCUGAGUCUCUAGGACGUUCCUUAAAAAAAUUUGAUUUUUUCCCAUAGGAAUGCAUGGGUUAGGGUUAGGGUUAGGGUUGGAGCUAGGGUUAGGGUUAGGGUUAGGGUUGGAGUUAGGGUUAGUGUUGGAGCUAGGGUUAGGGUUGGGCUUGGAGCUAGGAUUUUUCUGAGUGCAAUGAACCAACUCCCGAGUCUCUAGGACGUUCCUAAAAAAAUUUGAUUUUUUCCCAUAGGAAUGCAUGGGUUAGGGUUAGGGUUAGGGUUGGAGCUAGGGUUAGGGUUAGGGUUAGGGUUGGAGUUAGGGUUAGUGUUGGAGCUAGGGUUAGGGUUGGGCUUGGAGCUAGGAUUUUUCUGAGUGCAAUGAACCAACUCCCGAGUCUCUAGGACGUUCCUAAAAAAAAAUGAUUUUUUUCCCAUAGGAAUGCAUGGGUUAGGGUUAGGGUUAGGGUUGGAGCUAGGGUUAGGGUUAGGGUUAGGGUUGGAGUUAGGGUUAGGGUUAGGGUUAGGGUUAGGGUUGGGCUUGGAGCUAGGAUUUUUCUGAGUGCAAUGAACCAACUCCCGAGUCUCUAGGACGUUCCUUAAAAAAAUUUGAUUUUUUCCCAUAGGAAUGCAUGGGUUAGGGUUAGGGUUAGGGUUGGAGCUAGGGUUAGGGUUAGGGUUAGGGUUGGAGUUAGGGUUAGUGUUGGAGCUAGGGUUAGGGUUGGGCUUGGAGUUAGGAUUUUUCUGAGUGCAAUGAACCAACUCCCGAGUCUCUAGGACGUUCCUAAAAAAAUUUGAUUUUUUCCCAUAGGAAUGCAUGGGUUAGGGUUAGGGUUAGGGUUGGAGCUAGGGUUAGGGUUAGGGUUAGGGUUGGAGUUAGGGUUAGUGUUGGAGCUAGGGUUAGGGUUGGGCUUGGAGCUAGGAUUUUUCUGAGUGCAAUGAACCAACUCCCGAGUCUCUAGGACGUUCCUUAAAAAAAUUUGAUUUUUUCCCAUAGGAAUGCAUGGGUUAGGGUUAGGGUUAGGGUUGGAGCUAGGGUUAGGGUUAGGGUUAGGGUUAGGGUUAAGGUUGGAGCUAGGGUUAGUGUUGGAGUUAGGGUUAGGGUUGGGCUUGGAGCUAGGAUUUUUCUGAGUGCAAUGAACCAACUCCCGAGUCUCUAGGACGUUCCUAAAAAAAUUUGAUUUUUUCCCAUAGGAAUGCAUGGGUUAGGGUUAGGGUUAGGGUUGGAGCUAGGGUUAGGGUUAGGGUUGGAGUUAGGGUUAGUGUUGGAGCUAGGGUUAGGGUUGGGCUUGGAGCUAGGAUUUUUCUGAGUGCAAUGAACCAACUCCCGAGUCUCUAGGACGUUCCUAAAAAAAAAUGAUUUUUUUCCCAUAGGAAUGCAUGGGUUAGGGUUAGGGUUAGGGUUGGAGCUAGGGUUAGGGUUAGGGUUAGGGUUGGAGUUAGGGUUAGGGUUAGGGUUAGGGUUAGGGUUGGGCUUGGAGCUAGGAUUUUUCUGAGUGCAAUGAACCAACUCCCGAGUCUCUAGGACGUUCCUUAAAAAAAUUUGAUUUUUUCCCAUAGGAAUGCAUGGGUUAGGGUUAGGGUUAGGGUUGGAGCUAGGGUUAGGGUUAGGGUUAGGGUUGGAGUUAGGGUUAGUGUUGGAGCUAGGGUUAGGGUUGGGCUUGGAGUUAGGAUUUUUCUGAGUGCAAUGAACCAACUCCCGAGUCUCUAGGACGUUCCUAAAAAAAUUUGAUUUUUUCCCAUAGGAAUGCAUGGGUUAGGGUUAGGGUUAGGGUUGGAGCUAGGGUUAGGGUUAGGGUUAGGGUUGGAGUUAGGGUUAGUGUUGGAGCUAGGGUUAGGGUUGGGCUUGGAGCUAGGAUUUUUCUGAGUGCAAUGAACCAACUCCCGAGUCUCUAGGACGUUCCUUAAAAAAUUUGAUUUUUUCCCAUAGGAAUGCAUGGGUUAGGGUUAGGGUUAGGGUUGGAGCUAGGGUUAGGGUUAGGGUUAGGGUUAGGGUUAAGGUUGGAGCUAGGGUUAGUGUUGGAGUUAGGGUUAGGGUUGGGCUUGGAGCUAGGAUUUUUCUGAGUGCAAUGAACCAACUCCUGAGUCUCUAGGACGUUCCUAAAAAAAAUUGAUUUUUUCCCAUAGGAAUGCAUGGGUUAGGGUUAGGGUUAGGGUUGGAGCUAGGGUUAGGGUUAGGGUUAGGGUUGGAGUUACGGUUAGUGUUGGAGCUAGGGUUAGGGUUGGGUUAGGGUUGGAGUUAGGGUUAGGGUUAGGGUUAGGGUUAGGGUUGGGCUUGGAGCUAGGAUUUUUCUGAGUGCAAUGAACCAACUCCUGAGUCUCUAGGACGUUCCUAAAAAAAAUUGAUUUUUUCCCAUAGGAAUGCAUGGGUUAGGGUUAGGGUUAGGGUUGGAGCUAGGGUUAGGGUUAGGGUUAGGGUUGGAGUUAGGGUUAGUGUUGGAGCUAGGGUUAGGGUUGGGCUUGGAGCUAGGAUUUUUCUGAGUGCAAUGAACCAACUCCCGAGUCUCUAGGACGUUCCUAAAAAAAUUUGAUUUUUUUCCCAUAGGAAUGCAUGGGUUAGGGUUAGGGUUAGGGUUGGAGCUAGGGUUAGGGUAAGGGUUAAGGUUGGAGCUAGGGUUAGGGUUAGGGUUAGGGUUAGGGUUGGAGCUAGGGUUAGGGUUAGGGUAAGAGCUAGGGUUAGGGUUAGUGUUGGGGCUAGGGUUAGGGUUAGGGUUAAACUCAUUUUUUUCAGCUUUGUUGACAUUAAGCUUAAGCUAAUCAAGAAUCAGCUGUGAUUGUAUACAGAUGUAUGUUCACAUAGAUAACUAAUCCUCAUGUAUGACUGUGGAUGGCUUCCAGGAUUGCAUUAUGCGUCACAAACAGACUCCUUACUGCGUUCAGCCAAUACCCACUGCAACACUAAAGUGAAUGGAACCUUUCAUAGAAUAAAAAGACAAAACAACCCCUCUGAUACCAAAGCCCCAUCACACAUAAAGAUUUCAUGAACCGUAUUGUUUGUCUGCUAACACACUGAGCACUCUAAAAAAUGUAUAGAAAACACACUUACGACAGAGCCACACAUGUGCAUUGUCAUUGGCGUGCUGACAGUACGGUUUAGCCAGUGGUGGAGAGUAAAACCAGCACACGUGUGUUCAUCAAUUCACAGAUUUAUUCAGAUUCAUCCAAUUAUAAGAAUAUUGAGUGUAUUUCAAUCUCUCCAUUUUUCCAAGUCUGUCCAGUAUAAACUCUGCUCCUCUUAAAUGCUUUAUUGACAAUUGUUUACCCAGUCAGCUCCACAGAUGGAUAGCAAUAUGUAUGAUCUUCUGACUCAUAUGCAUGAAAAUAGUACAUUUUGAGAUAUUUUAUAUUCUAUGAUUUUUUUUCUUCUAACUCACCAUCAGAGUUUGUGCAAAUGGUAUGGGUAAAUUUCUCGUCUUAAGAAUAUCAUAUUCCCCCGAACACUCUGUAACUUUGCAGCAACACUCAGUGGACACAAAAUGAUGUCUGGGGGAACAUCAUGAGUUGGUGCCAUUUGGCCUGUGGGGUUUGUAAUGGAACAUCAAGCACAGCACAAAGCGGAGUUCAUAGCACAGAUUUCCUUGCAUUUAUGAGUGCUAUUUCAGUCUCACACUCAUCUGUCAGCCCUAACUGGGGACAAGCAUGUACCUCUCAACAAAUCAACUUGAAUUUAAUAUUUGGUGCAUGCCAAACAGGACUGCCCUAAAUGAGCAUGGUGGUAAUUGUGAUUAUCCAUGAGACAUUUUAUUUUAUGGUAGUCUGUUGUCCAGUUAAUGUCAUGGCAAAUUACACCUGAAGUUAAUUAAUCUGGGGUGUCUCAAGUAUUUCAUACAAUCUUGUCAGGCUGUGAGGAGACUCUCAGUUUACAUGACAAGACAAAACACAAGACUGGGUUCACAAGAACGGCACAAGGCGAGAGUUUGAAACUACUUUUAUGAAAACAUCAACGAUGAAAUAACCCAAUCAAGUUAAAUAUAUGAACAAUAUGUACUUUCAUCAAACAAAAAUAUUAGCAUACAUCUGAUUCAUCUAGUAUGAAUCAAAGUAGUGUUCAGAUUCAGACGUACCGCCCACCAUGUGCCCCAGAGAAGCAUUUUAAUCACCUUGGCAAUCUCAGCCCCAGAGAAAAAAGAGCCCACAUCCGCGUUCCCCCGGCCCUACUUCCUCACUCGAAGGCAUGUUGGUGAGAUCUAAGUAUUCGAACUAUUCAAAGUAUUCUUUUCACCCAUCAACAACAUCUCAAUUCGGUUCCCACCAUACACAGUGUUGACAGUGUGCUGCUUCCCCCUCCUGAGAUGCCAAAUGGUGGUCCACAACUUUCUUAAAGCUGCCCAAAAGUCGCUCUCCAUGGCCUCACCCAACUCCCCCUACACCUGUGUUUUUGCCUCAGUGACCACCGAGGCUGUAUUCCACUUGGCCGUCUGGUACCUGUUGGCUGCCUCCAGAGUCCCACAGGCCAGAAAGGCCUGAUAGGACUCUUUCUUCAGCUUCAGGGUAUCCUUGAGGCACCCUCCUUAGUAGUUAUGAACUGACUUUGAUACACCACCACAAGCAGGUUUACUGCAAUAGGUACAGAUAGAAAUGACAAAUCCACUCAGAAGACAGUGUGCUGAUCUCAGGAGACAGCUUAUUACCUCAACAAGAAAUAUUGUCAUGCUUUGGAAUCCUGAAAUCUUGUGGCAACAGAUCUAGUCACACCCAACAAUCUCAGUGUUAUCUUGAUUCUCUUUCAUAGCACAUCUCUCUACAGGGUAUCAAAUAACAUCCAUACAACACAUACAAACCACAACAAUUUGAUACGACAUCACACACAUCCACAGUCACACAUAUAUAGCACAUUCUUACAGAACAUUUAGUGGUGUGUUUUUCCAUAGUAUACAGUAUACUGUACGUUCCAGAGCAGGGAGCUAUUUUUGAAUUGUAACAUACAAUUAAACGUAAUGAUAUCUUCAUAUGUUGCAGUAAUAUAUGCAAAUUAUCACACUUACUCUCCAAGGCAAGACAAACACUUGUGCUGCUCACCUUCUUUUCUCUCUCCUCUUACCUUUUAGCUUCUCAUUCAAAGUAAAUCUGUUUUUGGCACACAGCCCGUCCUUCAACUACUGGAUUACCUGCCAGCACCCGCUGCCAAACAUAUACAAGCUUUUAACACUGUGAUUCAAUUGGCUUGUUUCCAUUCCCAUAAAAUACACACAUUCAAACCAAACAGACACCCACACUCAACAGCUGUGUUCAGAUUUGUGUAAAAUCAGCCCUUAAGCUUUAUACCACAUGUGAGCCAACAGCUGAAGUUUCUCUACCUCAUUCAGCUGUAUUAGGUGAGUCUAUGAUUAAGCCAUUUUAAUGAAAUAGAACUAAAGACAGCAAGCCAACAAGAAGAGAUCUGUUAUUCCAUUAAAGCAAUGAAUCUGCAUUUGAAUAUAAGUGACACAUUGAAAUGUUUCUGAAGUGAAAAGUUAAGGUUUAAAUCAAAGGUUAUAUUACUUGGUUCCCUCAUUUACACUGGUUUCGGAUUGAUGUGCAGUUUAAUCAGAUGGCAUUAUCUCAAAUUACAUUAAAUAAAUUAUCUCACUUUCUUGAUGCAAAUAUAAUAAAAUGCAAUAUAAUGACCCAUCUGCAGUUCAAUCUCUGUUGACAUUAGAAUAAACAGACUAAAUGAACACAGAGAUCCAAAUGUAUAUAUGCACACCUCGUACAAACAUGAUCACGCUUUACUUAAUUACUAAAAGUUAUGCAUUUUUAUCAACUCGGAUGAACUAUUUCCAGGUGUUAUCUCCUAAUUGUGCAACCUAAUCAGAUUGAUUGAUCAGAUCUCAACGAUCUUCAGUGCAUCCUGGGAGUGAUUGCAUCUUAAUUUAGGGCUUUCCACUGGUGAUCUGAUAAACAAGAGCUGUAUUGAUGCUACAUUGAUGGUAGAUGAAUUCCCAAUGCCAGGCUGUUUUUAAUCUGCAUGUAUAGUAUUUUUUGCUGGCCUUAGAACUUGUAAAGACAAAGAUUCAUAGAUUUGAUCUUAAACAACAGACUUACUUGGACCAGUGUUCUUGAAUUUAUGAAUGCCAUAUCUUCAUAAAGUGCAGGCUGCCAUAAAAUGCACAAGAAUGCUCCGGAGUGAUUUUAGAUUUUGUUAUUGGUUAAGUACAAUUCCCAGAUUAGAAAAUUUGGUUAAUUUCCCAAACUUUAUGUGGGUUUCAAGAGCCAGUUUCCUCCUAAAACAGGUUAUAGAAAGAGGCCCUUGGUGAUCAUUUAAAUAUAAGUGUCAAGUCUAAUUAGGAUUCCCUUGGAUUAGUUUAAUAUAAUUGCAUUUAGAUCUAUUUGCUCAACGCGGUCUCCUAAUGGAAAUUUUGCUCUUUUGCUGCAAAUACUCUACAAUGUACAGAUGCUAACUUUAGUGUCUGCCAUUUGACGUUUGGAAGGUAUCUUUUAGUCACUUUAUUAGAGGUUUGCACUGAGAGUAGCAUGUUGCAGCAGCUAUAAACAAGAUUAAUGAAAGUGGUAACACUGAACAAAAAAGAAAUGAAGUUGCAGAUAGUGAAAGUGAAACAGAGCUGAAAAGGGAUUAUUAGCAAGUGGAACUGCAGUCAAGUGAUGUCUUUAUAUUAAUGCAAAUUACACCUUUUUUUCCCCUUUUUUUUUAAAGAAAUCUUAAGUAUAGUGCAGGCUUAACAAGGUUUACUUUUUUCAUUACAGUUUACUUUAACAAAUUAGGCAAUGACGCAUCCCCCCUUUUAGUUUUGCACUCCUUGUUACAAGGAGAAAUGUGCAGCAGUAAACCACGGAGUCCUUCAUUAAAAUGUAUUGUCAGAGGACUUUAUAUGCCAGUGUUGUCUUCUUUGCACAAGCAUCAGUUGAACAAGGUGCAGCUGGAAAAUGCAUGUUCUUUCAUCUGUGCUGACAUGCUGCUAUUCACUUUUUAUGCAGCAGAAUUUCAUUUCUCCCUAAAAAAGUUGCUCCACUUUGCCAUCUGUCAGCAUAUUCUGCAGGUGAAAGUCAGAUUAAAGGGAGAAAUGUAUGGAGACUUCAUGUCAGAGCAGCCUGAUCCCGCCGGUGUGAGACAAAGCGCAGUAAUAAGCACAGAGGUCAGCAUUUCCUAUUUCUGUGAUUCGUAACACACAAAAACAAUGGACCUGCACACACACACACACACACACACACACACGCACACACGCACACACACGGGCACAGGCUAAAUGGCAAGCAUUUCUGUUCCUUCAGCCUUUUUUUAAAACAAGAUUUUUUUCCUCUCCUCUGUUAUCCACAAGUUUGGAAAUGAUGCUACCAUCAGCAUGGGUGUCUUUUUUUUUUCAUUUUCAGCUGUGAUUGACAGUGUAUCAAGUGAGGCUGCCAGGUAGAGUGAAAUAAUAGGGGAGACAAUGGACAUGGCUCUCUUACACAAACAGGUCUUGUUUUGUUUUUGUUGCCAGAUAUUGGAGAGAAUGUGAGGACUGAAGAGAGAGAGGGAGAGAUAAACCAGAAAGCAGACAUCAGUUAUGUCAGAGGAAAGAUCCCGUCUGACCUGCUUGGGUGCACAUGAGGAUGUUCCAGAAUCCAAAUGCUGCACCAAGAAAACCAACAAUAAUGCAUUCGACUCAAACACAGGAUGCUUUCUUUUCCAAUUGAUUCUUACUUACUUGACACCAUCAUAUGCACUAAAGUUAACUUAAAGUAAUUUGCACUUAUUUCUAAUAUUCAUGGUCACAAAAUCCUCACAAAAACACAGAGGACAGGCUUUUACUUCCACUUUGAUUUCCUUGUUAGGCUGUCCAAAAUCUGCAGAAUGUAUUUUGGGAUUUAAUCGACUUUUUUAGGCUCUGAAAAACUGAUGCUAAUAAAUAAACAUAAGCUCUGUAGCAGUGAUCCAGAGGGACCUACGGAGUGAUGGAGCUUAGAGACUCACAGAAAAGACUGAUUGCAGACCAGAGUCCACUGUUGUACUGAACACCAGGUUGUUAUUGACUCUCUUUAAUGUUUAGAAGUGAAAUAAAAAUAAAUAAAUAAACCCAGAUACAAUACAAUAUAAUACAACAAUCUAUUAUGCGCAGAUUGUUUACAUGAGCAGAAAACACUGUUAGCUGUUAAAACAGGAGACUGUGCUGUAAAAUCUCUUAGUUCAGUACAGUUAGACAAAGUUGAGUGCUUCAGUCAAAGUCUUUCAAAAUCAGUCAAAUCACGUGGCAGUCGGCCCCAUCUGCCAAAAACAACGGCAUCAUACCUGGCGUCCUGUUUCUGCUUGCAUUCUCAAUUAAGAGUCAUACUGGCCAGUCUCCACUUAGGCUUAUACACUAACUAGUGACAUGUAACCCAUAUAACCUCACUUCAGAAACAGUGAAAUAUUCCUUUAAAUGCAUUGAAGGGCAAGGUCUUCAUUCCUUAAUUAACUCCUUCUUGUUUAUUUAUUCAGUUCGUCACUUGUUCAGCGUUCCCCAUUUUGGAUCAGAGUGGAAUUGAGAGGAUCAUUGUCUUAGGUUUCAUUUUAUGCUCAACUAUCAUGAGGAAAGGGCUACAACAACAGAAACACUGACCAUCAAUCACCAAAAGCUCAGGGAGCUGGAGUGACAAGAAGGACUCACUUUUUAUGAUGGAGGAAGGCAGAGUCAGGGGCUAAAUCCAAAUCGAGAAGCUCCACUGCACAUGCAGACUCAUGAACGUGACAAAGAGGGAUGAGUGGUGCAUUUCAACGGCCUUUGCAGGUAAUACGUCACACAUUUCUCAGCACAAUACGUCCAUAACAGUGUGACAGAGUUGUACUGUACAGAAGAAGUUCAGUACAUUUAAUAAGUGCUGUUUAGAAUAGUCGAGAAAAAUAACUGAGAGGGAGCUCAUUGGAAAUUGUAUGAUUUUGUGUCAACUGACCCUCACAGACAUUACAUAUUAAAGCACGAGUGGAAGACUUUUUGUGGUCAGGACAAUAAACUGUUUAUUAAGACGGACACAAUAAUUGCUCAUUUACUGAGGAGCCAAAUGGCAAAGAGUUGAUGCUUUGGCACCACUAGUGCAGCCAAGGCAGUCUUCUUCACACAGCAGUUAGAAAUGAAGGUAUGUGGUCCAUUCUAUAUUCAGUUAGUGGUCAGGACACUAGUCUGGGGGAUGCACACUUAGACAACGCUCACAUUUGGAUGCUUGGUUAAACAGCAGGCGCCUGAACAGUAACUACAACAGCAAGUAGCAAAUAUAUAUUUAUAUACAUAUAAAUAUAAUGUAGUUUCAAAGACCAUUUUCUCGACUAUAGAGAAUAGCUUCAAUAGCCCAUAUUGACCCACUACUUCCCCUGAAGACUGCUUUUACUUAGUUAAGCCACCAAGUGUAGUAACCUCCCUGUGUGAGACACAGUGACAUGCCUGGAUCUGAUAAAGAGCUAUGGUAGUUACUAAUUUAGAUAAACAACUGUUCAGGAGGUGACUUUAAAAUAAAAGUGUUGCGUGUAACAAGGAAAAAAACAUCAGAAAAAAAGAGCCUCUGCUUUAAAAAUCAAACAGGGAAUAAUUCCAUACUAUAUCUCUCAUUCAUGGAACAUAAAAAUAACUGAUACAGGGCCAUUCCAGCUCUUGGCUUUUCAUUUCUCUUUGUAUUUUGGCUGAAAUCCAUGUGUGGCUUGCAAAAAAUAAAAAAAAAAUAAAAAUACACUGAUUCUUCUUUUCUCAAGAUUGUGGUGUGUGAGAUGGACUUGAGGUGCGUGAAAUGUGCUGCUUAUGCGGGCGGUCUAAUCUCUUGACAUGCAUGCCAAAAUGAAAAUCAAGCCAUUCUGAAGCCAUAAGGCAGCCAAGAGAUUUUCCUGUAUGAAGUGCCUAAGAGCACAGUUGGCUGUGGCAAAUGCAGCAAAAAAAUCAAAACAUACCAAACCAGACUGCCUGUUGGAAAUGCACCAUCCUUGUCUUAUUCUCUGUUUGUGCAUCAGUAUGCAUUUACACCACAAUUCAUAUUGUUACUUCAUGUUUCCGUGCUUCCUGGUCUUGCUGGUUUCUGUGGAUCUUUGAUGAGGUCCGCUGCCAUGUGGAGGUUUUACUCCACUGAUCUAUGCAAGACAAUUUAUGCAUUCCACACCUUCGUACACUGUGGGCUGUGUCUGCUUGCGUAUGUAUGGGUAUUGUUGGGUUCUUUAUCUUGACCAACAAUAAGGCAUGUAGACUGAAUGAUACAUGGGCCAAACCACCUAGCUUGCAGUUGAAGGACAAGCCACUCCACCUCUGGAGCCACAGUUGCUGGAUUGUCUUUUGCUUUGUUAAAUAAAUGCAAUGUACACACAAAAGCAUGGAAUUCAACACAAUGGACUUGUAAUUGAAUGUAUAUGGGCAAACACUUGAAAGCAAGCAAAUUGAAAACAAGUCUAAGCAUAGGCCUCGAACCGCAUAAAAGACUCAAAAAUAGAAGUAAUUUAGGACUGAAGAGAGGCAGGAAAAAAGAGCAAAGGACAAAGACCAAUAUGACAGUCACCUUUAUGAUUCAUCUCGCCCUCAUAACAAAGCAAAACAAAGCCUUAUUUCAUAAAUAACAUCUUGUUUGCUACUGAUAAAGCAAAUCAUAUUCUCUCUACCAACAAAUGUGGUUCCCAAAUCUCAU